rnacentral:rRNA from 1 species
AUUGAACGCUGGCGGCAGGCCUAACACAUGCAAGUCGAGCGAGAGGCGGACGGGUGAGUAAUGUAUGGGGACUGCCCGAUAGAGGGGGAUAACUACUGGAAACGGUGGAUAAUACCGCAUACGAUCGGAUAACACAUAUGGGAUUAGCUAGUAGGUGGGGUAAAGGCUCACCUAGGCGACGAUCUCUAGCUGUUCUGAUUGGAUGAACAGCCACACUGUGACUGAUACCCGGCCCAGACUCCUACGGAGGCAGCAGGGGGGAAUAUUGCACAAUGGGCGCAAGCCUUAUGCAGCCAUGCCGCGUGUAUGACGAAGGCCUUAGGGUUUUAAAGUACUUUCAGCGGGGAGGCGUUACCCGCAGAAGAAGCACCGGCUAACUCCGUGCCAGCCGCCGCGGUAAUUC